rnacentral:rRNA from 1 species
CAGCAGCCGCGGGAAUACAGAGGAUGCAAGCGUUAUCCGGAAUGAUUGGGCGUAAAGCGUCUGUAGGUGGCUUUUCAAGUCCGCCGUCAAAUCCCAGGGCACAACCCUGGACAGGCGGUGGAAACUACCAAGCUGGAGUACGAUAGGGGCAGAGGGAAUUUCCGGUGGAGCGGUGAAAUGCGUUGAGAUCGGAAAGGACACCAACGGCGAAAGCACUCUGCUGGGCCGACACUGACACUAAGAGACGAAAGCUAGGGGAGCAAAUGGGAUUAGAUACCCCAGUAGUCCCUGUCUCUUAUAC